UGACUUUCGCGAGGAAACAACAUAAAUUGCAACAACUAGAUGUUGAAAAGAAGCCACCAUCCUUAGCACACGUGUACAAAGAAAGUCGUAAAAGGAAAGCAGACAAACAAUACAAAACUUCUUAUGAGCCCACCCAAAGUAACAUUGACAAGAUGGAGGAGGUCCAAAUGCAAAGUGAAAUUGAUGGAGAUUUUGCAUACUAUGAAGUAAUGAAUAAUAAACCAAAUAACUUUGGCCAUAAAAAAAAAAAAAAAAAAAAAAAAAAAAAAAAAAAAAGUAUCUAGGGAUAUGUUCACUAAGGGGAAAGAGCAACAGACCAAUAAUUCCCGAUGAGUUGUUAAAGCCUUAUAAAGACAAAAUUGUGAAAGAAACAGUAGCAGAAUUAAUGAAGACGCUCAAGCAAAUUGAUCCUAAAGUGGUGGAUACGUUGACUCGAUCACUUGAAAAUGUGUCAUCCAUUCCAGAACUUAGAGAUCAUGUUCCUAAUUUACAGUCUAUUGAACAACAACAAAAUGAGGUAAUGGUUAAAUAUUCACUUUUAGAAAGCACUAAAUGUGAUUAUUAUUUUUUGUUCUGGUUGUCUGAUAUAUGUUGCUUUUAUAAAUACAUAGGAUCAAAUGGUUGAAGAUGAAGAAUUGGAGUAGCAAGUCAGAUGACAUGAGCGUGAUUGCAUACAAGUACAUAGUACUAGUAGUUGAUGUUGUUACCAUCGUUGUUGUUUCCGCUUUCUGCUGCUGUUUUUGCUCUUCGCCUGUUACUGCUUUCUGCUGCUACCUGUUACUGCUUUCUGCUGCUAGUUGUUACUACUUUCUGCUCAUGUUUUCUGCCCAAUGUUGCUGAGGCAUGCUGCUGUUUUCUUCCUGAUGUUGUUGAUGCAUGCUGUUGUCACUGCUAUCUACUACUAUCGUUGUCUGCUGUUACUGCUAUUUGCUGCCUUGGUACUGCUAUAUUUCCUUGUAGCUGCUGCUUAUGCUUUCUCUGUCCGGACAAUGUCAACUGCUGCGCUGCCUGCUAAUGUCAUUAUUGCCAUUCUUUUUUUUUUAAUAAGUUUUGAAACAAAGAAGUGGGAAGAAUUUGGUGGUCUAAUUUAAAGGCCAAAGCUGACUUAUUUCUGUUUUUUUUUAUUUUAUUUUUUUUAUUUUUAUUUUUUUUUUACUUAUCCGAUUCAAACAAAAAAUUGGUGUUUAUGGAUUUUUGUAAACAAACUAUGAAAUUACAUACAUUCAAAUAAUUGUUUAUCGUAUAUGUUAAAUUCACUAUCGUUGUUGU